rnacentral:rRNA from 1 species
UUUUAUUUCCGAUCAUCCGCCUGGUUAUAAUAAUUCGAUAUUCCGGCGAUGUCGUAAGGGAAAAUAAUGAUAGCACCUUACUAUGAGUGUCGUCCAAAUCUGGUGCCAGAAGACUCGGUAAGACCAGAGACGCAAACGUUAAUCAUCAUAAACAGGCGUAAAGGGUUUGUAGGCAGCUCUCACAAAAACAUAUGCAAAAUAAAGUGUCUUAAUUGGGAGCUAGAAUCAAAAAGAGGUUGUAGUGUAUAACGCCUAGAGGAGGGCUGAUAUCCAUAGAUCCUAGGCAGAAUACUCAGGGCGAAGGCCACUCUCCACUAAUGAUUGACGCUGAGAAACGAAGGUUAGGGUAGGAAAUAGGAUUAGAUACCCCGGUACUCCUUUCUGUAAACGAUGAAUGGUAGUCAUUAGUAAUACUAGAGACGAAGUUAACACAAUAACCAUUCCGCCUUGUGAGUACUACUGCAAAGUAGAAAACAAAAAAAUUAGUCGGUCUCGAAGCAAACGGAGUGAAGCAUGUUAUUUAAUUCGAUAAUCCGC